GGACGUAUGGCUGGAGGGCAAGACGUACACCUGCCAGGUGUCCCACCCGGGCACUGGGAGCAAAAAGCAGGCCCACGCCCGCAAGUGCGAAGAAGAAACAACAUCUCCCAGCAACAUCCAGGUCUUCCUGGUGCCCCCAUCUCCUGCCGCCCUGUACGUGGCCCAGAGCCCCAUGCUCACCUGCCUGGUGGUCAACCUGCCUAGCGACUCCAGCCUCCAGGUGGUCUGGUCCAGGGAGAAGCCAGGGUCCAUUAUCCCUGAUCCCCUGACCCUCAAUGAGCAGUUCAACAACACCUUCACCGCCUCCAGCUCCAUGCCCAUCUUCACCCGCGACUGGGAGGCCGGCGAGACCUUCACCUGCAAAGUGGAGCACUCGGACCUGAUCUCGCCCCUCAUCAAAUCGAUCUCCAAGAAGCCAGGCAAGCAGUCCGCCCCGGGCGUCUACCUCCUGCAGCCCCACAUGCACGAGCUGAGCAGCAAAGGAGACUCUGUCAGCGUCACCUGCCUGGUGCGGGGCUUCUUCCCCGAGGACAUCUCGGUGCAGUGGAUGAAGAACCAUGAUGGUGAAAAGGAGACCGACUACAUCACCACUCCGCCCAUGAAGGAUGGAGCCAGCGACUCGAACUUCUUCCUCUACAGCAAGCUGAAAGUCAGCAAGGCCAGCUGGAACAGCGGGGACACCUACACCUGCAUGGUCAGCCACCAAGCCCUCUCCAUGAAGUUCACCCAACGCAGCGUCAGCAAAGUCUCUGAGGUGAUCGUGUCAGGUGAGUUUUGCAGCGAGGACGAGGAUGAGGAGCUGGAUGGACUCUGGUCAAGCAUCUCGGUCUUCAUCACCCUCUUCCUCUUGAGCGUGUGCUACAGCGCCACCGUGACCCUGUUCAAGGUGAAGUGGUUUUUCUCCACCCUGGUGCAGCUGAAGAAGGCGAAUGGCCCCGAGUACAAGAACCUGAUCCAGCGCGUGGUGUAGAAGCUGCUGCUCCCAUCUGCCCAGAGACAAGGGUACGGGGCUCCUGGCUCCAUUGGCGACACCACUCUGAGUCCCACAGCUGCCCCCCACCAACGCUGUGCCCCUGGGAGACCCCUCGGGGGGGAGACAGGACCUCACCCCACAUGGCCUAAUCAGCCCUCAGCCACUAGGGAUGCUGCCCUGCUCGGAGCUUGGCUGAGACCGGACAACUCCUAUCCUGCAGGGAACCAGCACCCCUAGCGAGGAAACAACCCUUCUCCCACUUCCCACCCUCCUGAGCCCAACAGUCCCUGCUCUAGGGCUGGAUCAGAGACAGCGCUUCUAGAGGGGA